rnacentral:misc_RNA from 1 species
GAGGAAAAAAAUCUCAAUGCCAGCUCAUUUGAUGUAUGAUGGCCGGGAUGACAACCUAUUCGAACACUUCUCUGCCGUAGCUCAACGCCUUGGUGUAUACACUGCAAAGGAUUAUGCAGAUAUUCUUGAAUUUCUGGUGGGAAGAUGGGAAAUAGAAAAAUUGACUGGUCUUUCUGGUGAAGGUCACAAAGCACAAGAUUAUGUAUGUGGUCUGGCUCCGCGUAUAAGAAAAUUGGAGGAGAGGGCACAAGCAAGGGCCAAGCAGAAGGCUCCUGUUCCUUUCAGCUGGGUAUUUGGUAAAGAUAUUAAACUUUGAAUGAUAUAUGUUGUAGGAUUAUGUUACUUUCGGAGCACCAAUCGACAUAGGAAUGCUAGUAAGUAAUUUCAGGUUAUGGUAUCUAUCAAGUCAGUAUUUGUAAGGAAGAUGCUAUGGUGUUAUAACUACUGCACUAUAAUCUUGUAGAUACCUUAAAUUUUGUUUUUGUUCUGCUAUCGUUUAUGGCUCAUAUCAAGAAAAUGACAGCCUUUAAUUUUUACCUCCCCUUUUAGAACAUGUAGGUUCUUUAUGUUGGUUACAAGUUUGAUAUAUGAAAUGUCA